CCUUACCUGGUCUUGACAUAGUAAGAACUUUCCAGAGAUGGAUUGGUGCCUUCGGGAACUUACAUACAGGUGCUGCAUGGCUGUCGUCAGCUCGUGUCGUGAGAUGGUUGGGUUAAGUCCCGCAACGAGCGCAACCCUUUUCCUUAUUUGCCAGCGGGUUAAGCCGGGAACUUUAAGGAUACUGCCAGUGACAAACUGGAGGAAGGCGGGGACGACGUCAAGUCAUCAUGGCCCUUACGACCAGGGCUACACACGUGCUACAAUGGUCGGUACAAAGGGUUGCUACCACGCGAGUGGAUGCUAAUCUCAAAAAGCCGAUCGUAGUCCGGAUUGGAGUCUGCAACUCGACUCCAUGAAGUCGGAAUCGCUAGUAAUCGCGGAUCAGAAUGCCGCGGUGAAUACGUUCCCGGGCCUUGUACACACCGCCCGUCACACCAUGGGAGUUUGUUGCACCAGAAGUAGGUAGUCUAACCGCAAGGAGGACGCUUACCACGGUGUGGCAGAUGACUGGGGUGAAGUCGUAACAAGGUAGGCGUAGAUGA
rnacentral:rRNA from 1 species